CGCCAGCCUCUUGUCCCCUUGGGAGGGGAGCUGAGCCCUAUCCCAGCUGGACUCAGGACCAUGUAAAAUGGAGGCCUCCAGGGAGUCUGCUGACGCUGUUUCAUCUGCCUGGGAGAUGGAGAGCCUUCCCGCCACUACCGUAAUCAGAAGACUGGCUCAAACCCCAGCAGGGCAUCCAUGCCCACCAGGACACCUGAAGCAAUAGAACCCUGGUUCAUGUGCCCGUCCAGGCCAGACUGAGGCUUGGAGACUCUGCAGGAGAGCUGGAGGACCAACAGGCAGAAGCAGGAAGCAUCAUUUCUAGACCUCGCCCUCCGGGGUACUCACCUGUCUCAUUGCACUAGUGACAGCUGGCUGGGCCACCUCUCCCCUCUGGGAUGGAUCGCCGCAGGGAGAGCCAUGUGGGGUGCUGGAGUCAGGAGGGCGUGAGGAUGACUUGGAGUCUGGGUGACCUUAUCUCUCAGGACUCCAGUACUCUGUCUGCCUCUCCAUCUCCAUGGGGACCCUGGGUGGAUGUGUCUCUGACAGCCAAUUUUUCUCAUUCAGGAGUCUCUGCUGUGAUCUUACCUAGUUUGGCCCAAACUCCUUUCCAUCCUUAAAAAAAAUCCUGUUUAGAUCCACCCACAGGAAGCCCCCUAAGACAUCCUGAGAGUACACCAUUGCCUUCUGAGUGACAGCUCCCUUUACACUCCCCUCUGUGUCACUAGCGCCCAACCCCACGCUACCCAGAGCCACCUGUCUCCUGAACUAUGCCUAACAUCAGGAUCUGAACUGA